UUGACCUCGGAUCAGGUAGGGAUACCCGCUGAACUUAAGCAUAUCAAUAAGCGGAGGAAAAGAAACCAACAGGGAUUGCUCUAGUAACGGCGAGUGAAGCAGCAAUAGCUCAAAUUUGAAAUCUGGCGCCUUCGGCGUCCGAGUUGUAAUUUGUAGAGGAUGCUUCUGGGCAGCCACCGACCUAAGUUCCUUGGAACAGGACGUCAUAGAGGGUGAGAAUCCCGUAUGCGGUCGGAAAGGCACCCUACACGUAGCUCCUUCGACGAGUCGAGUUGUUUGGGAAUGCAGCUCUAAAUGGGAGGUAAAUUUCUUCUAAAGCUAAAUAUUGGCCAGAGACCGAUAGCGCACAAGUAGAGUGAUCGAAAGAUGAAAAGCACUUUGGAAAGAGAGUUAAAAAGCACGUGAAAUUGUUGAAAGGGAAGGGAUUGCAACCAGACUUGCUCGCGGUGUUCCGCCGGUCUUCUGACCGGUCUACUCGCCGCGUUGCAGGCCAGCAUCGUCUGGUGCCGCUGGAUAAGACUUGAGGAAUGUAGCUCCCUCGGGAGUGUUAUAGCCUCUUGUGAUGCAGCGAGCGCCGGGCGAGGUCCGCGCUUCGGCUAGGAUGC
rnacentral:rRNA from 1 species